CUUCGAUGUCUUCUUUGCCCCACCCCAACUUUUCUAAGGAAAAUGCAUGUCACAACCUCAUGGAAAGAAAUUCAUCAUAGAUCGUUGUAACCAGAAUGGAAAGAAACUGAUACAACUUCAGUAUUCUAAGAAUAAAGCCUGAGGCUACAAAUAAUAAACAUUGUCACUAUCAGACUUGUAUCUGCUGCCCCACCAGGAAAUGGGUGGCAAAGGACAAGAAACUGGGAAAGACCAAAG
rnacentral:lncRNA from 1 species